rnacentral:misc_RNA from 1 species
CUACCCCUCAAGCGCGGCUUGUGUGUUGGGCGCUGUCCCCCCCCCUUUUUGGGGGGACAGGCCUGAAAGGCAGUGGCGGCGUCGCGUCCGGUCCUCGAGCGUAUGGGGCUUUGUCACCCGCUCUGUGAGGAUCCGGCCGGGGCCUGUCUCACCCCCAAUCUUCUCUAA